GUUAUAUGGUCAAGCGAAUAAGCGCACACGGUGGAUGCCUUGGCGGUCAGAGGCGAUGAAGGACGUGGCAGCCUGCGAAAAGUAUCGGGGAGCUGGCAACAAGCUUUGAUCCGGUAAUGUCCGAAUGGGGAAACCCACCCGCUUGCGGGUAUCCUGCAGUGAAUACAUAGCUGCUGGAAGCGAACCUGGUGAACUGAAAUAUCUAAGUAACCAGAGGAAAAGAAAUCAACCGAGAUUCCGUAAGUAGCGACGAGCGAACGCGGACUAGCCCUUAAGCUGAUUUGGUUCUAGGAAAACGCUCUGGAAAGAGCGGCCAUAGAAGGUGAUAGCCCUGUAUCUGAAAGGGCCAUUUCAGUGAAGACGAGUAGGGCGGGGCACGUGAAACCCUGUCUGAACAUGGGGGGACCAUCCUCCAAGGCUAAAUACUACUGACCGACCGAUAGUGAACCAGUACCGUGAGGGAAAGGCGAAAAGAACCCCGGAGAGGGGAGUGAAAUAGAACCUGAAACCGUGUGCGUACAAGCAGUAGGAGCUCCGCAAGGAGUGACUGCGUACCUUUUGUAUAAUGGGUCAGCGACUUACUGUUCGUGGCAAGCUUAACCGUAUAGGGGAGGCGAAGGGAAACCGAGUCUGAUAAGGGCGCAUAGUCGCGGGCAGUAGACCCGAAACCGGGUGAUCUAGUCAUGCCCAGGGUGAAGGUGCGGUAACACGCACUGGAGGCCCGAACCCACUCCCGUUGCAAAGGUAGGGGAUGAGGUGUGAUUAGGAGUGAAAAGCUAAUCGAACCCGGAGAUAGCUGGUUCUCCUCGAAAGCUAUUUAGGUAGCGCCUCAUAUGUAUCCUCUCGGGGGUAGAGCACUGUUAUGGCUAGGGGGUCAUCGCGACUUACCAAACCAUUGCAAACUCCGAAUACCGAGACGGACUGUAUGGGAGACACACGGCGGGUGCUAACGUCCGUCGUGAAAAGGGAAACAACCCAGACCCACAGCUAAGGUCCCAAAUUUUGUGCUAAGUGGAAAACCAUGUGGAAAGGCACAGACAGCCAGGAGGUUGGCUUAGAAGCAGCCACCCUUUAAAGAAAGCGUAAUAGCUCACUGGUCGAGUCGGUCUGCGGGGAAGAUUUAACGGGGCUAAGCACAGAACCGAAGCUUGGGGUGCAUAACUUUGUUAUGCGCGGUAGAGGAGCGUUCCGUAAGCCGUUGAAGGUGGAUUGAGAAGUCUGCUGGAGGUAUCGGAAGUGCGAAUGCUGACAUGAGUAACGAUAAUGCGGGUGAAAAACCCGCACGCCGAAAGCCCAAGGUUUCCUUGCGCAACGUUAAUCGGCGCAGGGUGAGUCGGCCCCUAAGGCGAGGACGAAAGUCGUAGUCGAUGGGAAGCAGGUUAAUAUUCCUGCACCUCGCGUAAGUGCGAUGGAGGGACGGAGAAGGUUAGGUGUACCAGGCGUUGGUUGUCCUGGGGAAAGGCGGUAGGUUUGGAUCUUUGGCAAAUCCGGGAUCCUCUAAGACCGAGCACCGAGACGAGCCUUUAAGGCGAAGUCACUGAUACCACGCUUCCAGGAAAAGCUCCUAAGCUUCAGCUUACGCAGACCGUACCGUAAACCGACACAGGUGGGUAGGAUGAGAAUUCUCAGGCGCUUGAGAGAACUCGGGUGAAGGAACUAGGCAACAUGGCACCGUAACUUCGGGAGAAGGUGCACCCUUUUUGGUGGCUCGUGCGAGCUAUAGCUGAAGAGGGUCGCAGUAACCAGGCCGCUGCGACUGUUUAUCAAAAACACAGCACUCUGCAAACACGAAAGUGGACGUAUAGGGUGUGACGCCUGCCCGGUGCUGGAAGGUUAAUUGAUGGGGUCAGCCGCAAGGCGAAGCUCUUGAUCGAAGCCCCAGUAAACGGCGGCCGUAACUAUAACGGUCCUAAGGUAGCGAAAUUCCUUGUCGGGUAAGUUCCGACCUGCACGAAUGGCGUAACGACAGCGGCGCUGUCUCCACCCGAGACUCAGUGAAAUUGAAAUCGCUGUGAAGAUGCAGCGUUCCCGUGGCAAGACGGAAAGACCCCGUGAACCUUUACUAUAGCUUUACACUGAACGUUGAGUUCGUCUGUGUAGGAUAGGUGGGAGGCUAUGAAACUGUGGCGCUAGCUGCAGCGGAGCCAUCCUUGAAAUACCACCCUGUCGUGCUUGACGUUCUAACCUGGGCCCAUUAUCUGGGUCGGGGACCGUGUAUGGUGGGUAGUUUGACUGGGGCGGUCUCCUCCUAAAGAGUAACGGAGGAGCUCGAAGGUACGCUCAGCGCGGUCGGACAUCGCGCACUGUGUGCAAAGGCAUAAGCGUGCUUGACUGCAAGAUCGACGGAUCAAGCAGGUAGGAAACUAGGACUUAGUGAUCCGGUGGUUCUGUAUGGAAGGGCCAUCGCUCAACGGAUAAAAGGUACUCCGGGGAUAACAGGCUGAUACCGCCCAAGAGUUCAUAUCGACGGCGGUGUUUGGCACCUCGAUGUCGGCUCAUCACAUCCUGGGGCUGUAGUCGGUCCCAAGGGUAUGGCUGUUCGCCAUUUAAAGUGGUACGCGAGCUGGGUUCAGAACGUCGUGAGACAGUUCGGUCCCUAUCUGCCAUGGGCGUUGGAGAUUUGAGAGGGGCUGCUCCUAGUACGAGAGGACCGGAGUGGACGAACCUCUGGUGUUCCGGUUGUCACGCCAGUGGCAUUGCCGGGUAGCUAUGUUCGGAAGCGAUAACCGCUGAAAGCAUCUAAGCGGGAAGCGCGCCUCAAGAUGAGAUCUCCCGGGGCACAAGCCCCCUGAAGGAACCAUGUAGACUACGUGGUUGAUAGGUCAGGUGUGUAAGUACAGCAAUGUAUUGAGCUAACUGAUACUAAUGAUCCGAGAGGCUUGACCAUAUAACCU
rnacentral:rRNA from 1 species